AUUGAACGCUGGCGGCAGGCCUAACACAUGCAAGUCGAGCGAGCGGCGGACGGGUGAGUAAUGUCUGGGAACCUGCCUGAUGGAGGGGGAUAACUACUGGAAACGGUAGCUAAUACCGCAUACCAUCAGAUGUGCCCAGAUGGGAUUAGCUGGUAGGUGGGGUAAAGGCGCACCUAGGAGACGGUCCCUAGCUGGGCUGAGAGGAUGACCAGCUACACUGGAACUGAGACACGGUCCAGACUCCUACGGGAGGCAGCAGUGGGGAAUAUUGCAAAAUGGGCGCAAGCCUGAUGCAGCCAUGCCGCGUGUAUGAAGAAGGCCGUCGGGUUGUAAAGUACUUUCAGCGGGGAGGCGUUACCCGCAGAAGAAGCACCGGCUAACUCCGUGCCAGCCGCCGCGGUAAUAC
rnacentral:rRNA from 1 species